ensembl:snRNA U6 U6 spliceosomal RNA
GUGUUAGCAUCGGGUCACAUAUUACUAAAAUUGGAAAGAUACAGAGAAGAUUAGCAUGGCCCCUUGCAGAUGACAGCAAACUCGUAGGGCGCUAUAAUUAAUAGUU